GAAAAGCUUCGUCUAAAUUGAAGUCGCGUCACCACGUCGGUCAGGUUCGAAUGUGUAUCCGGAACUUCGAUAAAGCAAUCCCCGCGGUAUUUCUCGUGCGCCGAGUGAUGAGCGCUUCGCUAAUCAUCCGCAAGCUCAUGGGAAUUAUUUUUGGUACAUUACCUUCCAGAUGGUGGACUGGAAAAAUCGAUGUUCUUCAUCCAAUUGGAAUAUUGAUCGGAUCUCGCCAAGUCGUUGCGCUGCUUGUUUUUGGAGCUGGACCAUCGAAUGCAUUGGACAAUAAAACAUGAAGACUGAAACAUUAAAGAGGACUUCAUCGCGAGCAGCUAAGUUUGAAGAAGCCGCCGGAGCAAAGGCUGCUAGACCAAGUAGUGGAUUAUAGCAGGAAGGCAUUUGGGAAACUACAGUACUCGGUCCACCACAAGAACGUGCUACAUUUGACUGAAUUCUAAAGGUGCAAAAUUACUGGAUCAAGAGUGGUGCUUGGAAUUCCGGGAAAAAUUGUCGAUGGCCAAUUCCUAGUUACUUCCACCAUGCUGGAAGAUGGUUGCAUUUGCAUUGGUGAAAGUGAUAGUUCUCAGUGCAUCGGUGUUCUAUGGGGAUUAUUCGUAAGAUCCAUUCAGACUACAUGGUCAUCGAUGUGAAUAUGGUCGGACCAUCCAUUAUCAGUAAAUCCUCGAAGCUAGUGGAAGCAAUCCUACAAACCUGGCAGCUACAGCCGAUGG